rnacentral:rRNA from 1 species
AACGGCCAUACCAUGCUGAAUAUAUCGGUUCUCGUUAGAUCACCGAAGUCAAGCAUCAUUGGGCGCGGUCAGUACUUGGGUGGGUGACCACCUGGGAACACCGCGUGCCGCUG